UUGGCUUUUAAAUCUGGGCUGGCUCGCUUGUGUGACAGGAGGAGAGAGGGUAGGACUCGGCUCAGGCUGGUUGGCUGUGAUUGACACAUUUCAUGGACAGCUUUUUAUGGCUCUCAUCAUGGUGACGCUCUGAUUGCCUCCCCAGCGCUAAUGAAGAUCUCCUGUCAUGGGCCUGCAAGACUAAUGCAUCGUGACACCUCGAUUACAGGAAGUGUGGAUGGCUUCUCCUGCCUCCUCUCUUCUAGGUAAAAGCCUGUGAUCACAUCAGGGGAAUGUUCGCCAGCUGCCUGUGCUGAAUUUGCCCGAUUUCUACACCAGCAGCCAUGCUCAGGGUCCCCAGCUGUCCCCUGUACCAGUGGAGGGAAAAACACAGGGUACAUGUCCCCUCAAUACCGUCAGACCUCCCUACUGACAUCUUUGAAGAUAUAAUGCUUCUAUUUGUGCUCCUGUGUACCUGCUGUCCUUAACAAAUUUAAAAAAUAAGAAGAGGGAAAUUGCAAAGGCACUGGACCGAAACACUGUGGUGUGCAGUCAGAAGUCGAUGCGUCCAUGUGCUACAGCCGCGGAUGCUGUGUAAGUGAAUGGGAGAAUACAACCCACAGCUGUAGUGAGAGUAAUGAAAUGUUUUGUGACUGAGGCUGUCUGGCCCGGUAUCUGCAAUAAUCAAAUCCUGGUAAGGCAAUUUAGCAAGUUGUGGGGAUUUUUUUCCAACAGAAAACAGUUGGUUGUUCUUUUAUUGCAUCAGCUGGGCUGUGCAUUCCACCCACUCCCUCUGGCUGCUCUGCCUUGGCCGAGCUCUGCUCUCCUAAAUGCCUGCUCACCACAGCUGGACCUGCAAGGCUGGGCUGCCACUGAAGCCAUCCUGAGCGUCAUGACUGUCUAAAUCCCUGAGCAGAACUGCUGAGUUUGGACACUCCCAGGCUUAGGCAAAAUUCCUUAGCCCACCUCCAUGAAAACAUGAUUAUUGCCAUUAAAUACACCCUGUGAUACACCAUGUCUCUGCAAUGCUCCCUGAUGAGCCCAUGCACCAAACCUAAUGGCUCCUGCUGCAGCCAGACACCGAACUCGGCUGUGGAGGCACCACCGCGAGCUCAGCUCCCACCACUGAUGAGGGGUCUGUGAAGCAGCCUAAUGAUUUUCUACGGGUCUGAGAUCACGGUAACACCAUGAGAGUCGCACAAAAAAAAGAGAUGUCUCCUUCCCUUCCCUCCCACUCCCUGCAAGGCUCAUUUUGCAAACUGCAGCUGCUGAAAAUGGAAAGCCAGCUAGAGCAGCAGCACUCCGACGGUGUUACAGAACCGGGAUGCUGCAGCAGAAAUCUGCAGAUGGAGGAUGAACAUGCUGGGCUUCCAAAACACUGUGUUUCGGUGGACUUAUCUCCCAUUUGUGAGACAAUAGACUGAGGAGCCGGUGGCACCACUGCUACGUGGAUAUGGUGACAGUGCCCUGUCUCCUGCCAGCACCACCAGGGACAUGCGUGGCCACAUCCUGCUCGUGCACCUGAUGGCUGCCACCCUGCAGCACUCUGUGCCUGUCCCCAGGCUUGGCUCAAGACCAGAAGCCUGCAAUUAAACUAGAAGAUACUUCAUGACAAUGAACCCUCAUCCUGGUGGCCCCAUGGCUCAAGGCUUCCACAGGCAACAUCCUCCAUCGCAAGGUCUGGUCCUAAUCACCACGAGCAGGACUCUGAAAGGAGCGAGGACCUUGAUGGAAAGAAGCACAUUCAUUCCCAGGACAGCUUCUGGACAUUAAGCUUUUCCCUCUUGUAACUGAACAAUCCACAGGAAAAGAGUUUGAGUGGAAAUCUGUUAAUAUGUGAAUACUGCUCGCCAGCAUGUACCAGCAUCGCUGGACUCUCAGUACUUCUCCCACAGAACACGCAGCCCUGCGUGCUCAGAGGGGCUCCACAGGACCACGGCAUCUGUGCGAGCAAGACUGGCAGAGCUGUGCAGACGAGGAGUGAUGAGAGCUGCUAUGAGAAACCAUAACUUUGAGAACGUGCAACUCAACUCAGCAUGAUCCACUAAUUCCCAGUGAAGCCAUCUGUGAUGGUAACUAAAAUGGGAACUGAACAGGAUUCACUUUGGAGCGCCCGUCAGAAGUGCUCCCCUCCGGUGCGUGCUGCCAGCAGCAGCAUCUCUCCCAAGAUCAUUCCCAAGAUGAUUUGUAGGAGCCUGCCUGGGCAUGUUCCUGUGUGAUAAACCUGGUGAGCAACCUACUCAUGUGAGGCCAGAGAGCAUCCAGGAUUCCCCAAAGGAGACAAAGGAAUCCCUGCAGAGCUCCUCAUGUGUCCCCACGGGGCAGGACACAAGAUCUGGGAAAAGCCUUCCAUGCCUUUGUUAACUCAUCCACAAAAUGAGCAGAUUGGUGCAGUGGAGCCCCUCUCUGACACAGCCAGCUCUUGUCCCAGCCAGGUGAGGCUGUGCCAGGCAGGGCAGCCUGGCAAUCCUGAGACAUAACAGGGAGCUGUACCUCCCCAAGAUGGCUUGGAAGUUCCACGUAACCACAGUAUGGAGCAUAAUGUGGAUUUAUACUUGUUACUUUACUUUUCUAUGGUACCUCCCAAGAGCCUUCUGAGGCAUUCCAUUCUUUAAUAAGCUGAAAGUGCUCCGAGAUUUUUCUAAUGAAAAUGAUAUAGGAGCACACAGUGUUAUUAUUAAAACCUCUCUUUUUCUCUAGGAACUGCUAAAAUACAUUUACAGUUUAUAUCCUUUUUGGUGAGCAUUAAACUUUCUAAUUUAAA